CAGUCAACCUGUAGUAAAGCCCUAGGGUGAUGGAGUAUAAUAUAUAUAUUUUUAAAUGUCCCUUGACGAUGUCUCCGCUUGGUUCAGUCUGUACAGUACCUUCAGAAAAUAUUCAUACACCUUGACUUUUUUCACAUUUCGUUACAAGGUGAUUUAAUUGUAAUUUUUACACAAAAUACUCUGUUAAAGGUGAAGAAAAUGUUUAAUAUUUGUCAAAUAAAACACUAUCUUGAUUACAUCAGUAUUCAACCCUGAGUUAAUACAUAUUAUUAUGUAUUUGGGGCGGCAUGGUAGCCUAAUGGUUGCAAAUUCAAACCCCCGAGCUGACAUGGUACAAAUCUGUCGUUCUGCCCCUGAACAGGCAGUUAACCCACUGUUCCUAGGCCGUCAUUGAAAAUAAGAAUUUGUUCUUAACUGACUUGCCUAGUUAAAUAAAGGUAAAAUUAAAAAUAUAUAUAUUAAGAAUCACUUUUGGCAGCAACUAUAGCUGUGAGUCUUUCUGGAUAAGUCUCUUAUGAGCUUUGCACUAGGGGUCGACCGAUUAUUCGGAAUGGCCGAUUUAAUUAGGUCCGAUUUCAAGUUUUCAUAACAAUCGGCAUUUUUGGACACCGAUUAUGGCCGAUUACAUUGCACUCCACGAGGAGACUGCGUGGCAGGCUGACUACCUGUUAUGCGAGUGCAGCAAGGAGCCAAGGUAAGGUGCUAGCUAGCAUUAAACUUAUCCUAUAAAAAAACAAUCAAUUUUAACAUAAUCACUAGUUAAUUACACAUGGUUGAUGAUAUUACGAGUUUAACUAGCUUGUCCCGCGUUGCAUAUAAUCGAUGCGGUGCCCGUUAAUUUAUCAUCGAAUCACAGCCUACUUCGCCAAACGGGUGAUGAUUUAACAAGCGCAUUCGCAAAAAUAGCACUGUCGUUGCACCAAUGUGUACCUAACCAUAAACAUCAAUGACUUUCUUAAAAUCAAUACACAAGUAUAUAUUUAUAAACCUGCAUAUUUAGUUAAUAUUGCCUGCUAACAUGAAUUUCUAACUAGGGAAAUUGUGUCACUUCUUCUCUUGCGUUCUGUGCAACAGAGUCUGGGUAUAUGCAGCAGUUUGGUUCUAACAAAGACAGUCAACUUCGCCAAACGGGGGAUGAUUUAACAAAAGCGCAUUUGCGGAAAAAGCACAAUCGUUGCACAACUGUACCUAACCAUAAACACCAAUGCCUUUCUUAAAAUCAAUACGCAGAAGUAUAUAUUUUUAAACCUGCAUAUUUAGUUAAAAGAUUCAUGUUGGCAGGCAAUAUUAAACUAGGGAAAUUGUCACUUCUCUUGCGUUCAUUGCACGCAGAGUCAGGGUAUAUGCAACAGUUUGGGCCGCUUGGCUCGUUGCAAACUAAUUUGCCAGAAUUGUAUGUAAUUAUGACAUAACAUUGAAGGUUGUGCAGGAAUAUGUAGACUCAUGGAUGCCACCCGUUAGAUAAAAUACGGAACGAUAUAUUAAUGACCUAAGGCUCGUAUUUCUGUGUGUUAUUAUGUUAUAAUUAAGUCUAUGAUUUGAUAUUUGAUAGAGCAGUCUGACUGAGCGAUGGUAGGCACCAGCAGGCAGGCUCGUAAGCAUUCAUUCAAACAGCACUUUUGUGCGUUUGCCAGCAGCUCUUAGCAAGCACAGCGCUGUUCAUGACUUCAAGCCUAUCAACUCCCGAGAUGAGGCUGGUGUAACCGAUGUGAAAUGGCUAGCUAGUUAGCGGGGUGCGCGCUAAUAGCGUUUCAGACGUCACUCGCUCUGAGACUUGGAGUAGUUAUUCCCCUUGCGGAGGAGAGCGAUGGGUAACGAUGCUUCGAGGGUGGCUGUUGUCAAUGUGUUCCUGGUUCGAGCCCAGGGAGGAGCGAGGAGAGGGACGGAAGCUAUACUGUUACACUGGCAAUACUAAAGUGCCUAUAAGAACAUCCAAUAGUCAAAGGUUAAUGAAAUACAAAUGGUAUAGAGAGAAAUAGUCCUAUAAUAACUACAACCUAAAACUUCUUACCUGGGAAUAUUGAAGGAACCACCAGCUUUCAUAUGUUCUCAUGUUCUGAGCAAGGAACUGAAACGUUAGCUUUCUUACAUGGCACAUAUUGCACUUUUACUUUCUUCUCCAACACUUUGUUUUUGCAUUAUUUAAACCAAAUUGAACAUGUUUCAUUAUUUAUUUGAGGCUAAAUUGAUUUUAUUGAUGUAUUCUAUUAAGUUAGAAUAAAAGUGUUCAUUCAGUAUUGUUGUAAUUGUCGUUAUUACAAAUAAAUAAAUAAAAAUUGUCCGAUUUAAUCGGUGUCUGCUUUUUUUUAGUCCUCCAAUAAUCUGUAUCGGUGUUGAAAAAUCAUAGUCGGGUCGACCUCUAAUUUGCACACCUGGAUUGUAUAAUAUUUGCGCAUUAUUAUUUUAUAAAUUGGUUGUUGAUCAUUGCUAGACAGCCAUUUUAAAAUCUUGCCGUAGAUUUUCAAGCUGAUUUUAAGUCAUUACUGUAACUAAAAAGCUGAAUUUCUCCUGGUUUGAACACAGACUGAACCAGGUUUUCCUCCGGGAUUUUGGCUGUGCUUAGCUCUAUACUUUUCUUUCUAUCCUUAAAAAAAACUCCCCAAUCCUUGCCGAUGACAAGGAUACCCAUAACAUAAUCAAUCACAUGUAUUUAUACAGCCCUUUAUACAUCAGCUGAUAUCUCAAAGUGCUGUACAGAAACCCAGCCUAAAACCCCAAACGGCAAGCAAUGCAGGUGUAGAAGCACGUUGACUAGGAAAAACUCCCUAGAAAGGCAGGAACCUAGGAAGAAACCUAGAGAGGAACCAGGCUAUGAGGGGUGGCCAGUCCUCUAUUGGCUGUGAUGGGUGGAGAGGAACCAGGCUAUGAGGGGUGGCCAGUCCUCUAUUGGCUGUGAUGGGUGGAGAGGAACCAGGCUAUGAGGGGUGGAAAUUUAUAAGAGUACAUUGUUUUUCAAGAUGUUCAUAGAUGACCAGCAGGCUCAAAUAAUAAUCAGUGAUUGGUCAGCACCUCUGUAGUAUAUGUCAGUUGGCUUUUCAUAGCAGCAACCACUAUGCUUGAAAAUAUUGAGUGGUACUAAGUGAUGUGUUGUGUUGGAUUGGCCCCAAACAUAACGCUUUGUAUUCAGGACACAAAGUUCAUUUAUUUGCCAAAUUUUUUUCAGUUUUGCUUUAUUGCAAAAGGGAUGCAUGUUUUGGAAUAUAUUUUAUUCUGUGAAGGCCUCCUUCUUAUAAUUUAGUUUAGUAUUGUGGAGUAACUAUAAUGUUGUUGAUCCAUCCUCAGUUUUCUCUUGUCACAGCCACUAAACUCUGUAACUGUUUUAAAAUCACCAUUGGUCUCAUGGUGAAAUCCCUGAGCGGUUUCCUUCCUCUUCGGCAACUGAGUUUGGAAGGACGCCUGUAUCUUUGUAGUGACUGGGUGUAUUGAUACAUCAUCCAAGGUGUAAUUAAUGCUCAACACUCAUUGCAGACAGUCCAUGGCACUUAUUAUGUGACUUGUUAAGCACGUUUAAUUAGGCUUGCCGUAAACAAACGGGUUGAAUACUUAUUGACUCGAGACAUUUCAGGUUUUCAUUUUUUUAUUAAUUUGUAAAAUAAUUCUACAAACAUAAUUCCACUUUGACAUUAUGGGGUAUUGUGUGUAGACCAGUGACACAACAUCUCAAUUUAAUCCAUUUUAGAUUCAAGGCAUCGAUUGCUUUUUGAGUCGUAGUUAUACAAUUGGAAAAACAUUUACAGUACAUUUUACAACAUAUUCAGUGUGUGAAAAGGCCACUACUCUACUACCAAAUCCAUGUGCAUAACAACUAAAGGUGUGAAAAGGCCACUACUCUACUACCAAAUCCAUGUGCAUAACAACUAAAGGUGUGAAAAGGCCACUACUCUACUACCAAAUCCAUGUGCAUAACAACUAAAGGUGUGAAAAGGCCACUACUCUACUACCAAAUCCAUGUGCAUAACAACUAAAGGUGUGAAAAGGCCACUACUCUACUACCAAAUCCAUGUGCAUAACAACUAAAGGUGUGAAAAGGCCACUACUCUACUACCAAAUCCAUGUGCAUAACAACUAAAGGUGUCAAAAGUCCAGGGGUGUGAAUACUAUGAAGGCCCUGUAGAUACACAUACUGGUAAACGCCAUGGGAAGAGGGACUAAAGUAACACAGUAAGACGAGGUAAAGCUCUUCCUUGAUCAAACCUUGAGACGAGGUAAAGCUCUUCCUUGAUCAAUCGUUGAGACGAGGUAAAGCUCUUCCUUGAUCAAUCCUUGAGACGAGGUAAAGCUCUUCCUUGAUCAAUCCUUGAGACGAGGUAAAGCUCUUCCUUGAUCAAACCUUGAGACGAGGUAAAGCUCUUCCUUGAUCAAACCUUGAGACGAGGUAAAGCUCUUCCUUGAUCAAACCUUGAGACGAGGUAAAGCUCUUCCUUGAUCAAACCUUGAGACGAGGUAAAGCUCUUCCUUGAUCAAACCUUGAGACGAGGUAAAGCUCUUCCUUGAUCAAACCUUGAGACGAGGUAAAGCUCUUCCUUGAUCAAACCUUGAGACGAGGUAAAGCUCUUCCUUGAUCAAACCUUGAGACGAGGUAAAGCUCUUCCUUGAUCAAUCGUUGAGACGAGGUAAAGCUCUUCCUUGAUCAAUCCUUGAGACGAGGUAAAGCUCUUCCUUGAUCAAACCUUGAGACGAGGUAAAGCUCUUCCUUGAUCAAUCCUUGAGACGAGGUAAAGCUCUUCCUUGAUGAGAGAUCUGCAGUAAACUAACAUUAUAGUUUU